rnacentral:rRNA from 1 species
GAUGAACGCUGGCGGCGUGCCUAAUACAUGCAAGUCGAGCGAACGGACGAGAAGCUUGCUUCUCUGAUGUUAGCGGCGGACGGGUGAGUAACACGUGGAUAACCUACCUAUAAGACUGGGAUAACUUCGGGAAACCGGAGCUAAUACCGGAUAAUAUUUUGAACCGCAUGGUUCAAAAGUGAAAGACGGUCUUGCUGUCACUUAUAGAUGGAUCCGCGCUGCAUUAGCUAGUUGGUAAGGUAACGGCUUACCAAGGCAACGAUGCAUAGCCGACCUGAGAGGGUGAUCGGCCACACUGGAACUGAGACACGGUCCAGACUCCUACGGGAGGCAGCAGUAGGGAAUCUUCCGCGAUGGGCGAAAGCCUGACGGAGCAACGCCGCGUGAGUGAUGAAGGUCUUCGGAUCGUAAAACUCUGUUAUUAGGGAAGAACAUAUGUGUAAGUAACUGCGCACAUCUUGACGGUACCUAAUCAGAAAGCCACGGCUAACUACGUG